CACGUAGGCACCAAGCGUUGUCCGGAUUUAUUGGGCGUAAAGAGCUCGUAGGCGGUUCGGUAAGUCGGGUGUGAAAACUCUGGGCUCAACCCAGAGACGCCACCCGAUACUGCUGUGACUUGAGUACGGUAGGGGAGUGGGGAAUUCCUGGUGUAGCGGUGAAAUGCGCAGAUAUCAGGAGGAACACCAGUGGCGAAGGCGCCACUCUGGGCCGUAACUGACGCUGAGGAGCGAAAGCAUGGGUAGCAAACAGG
rnacentral:rRNA from 1 species